ACCGCUCGUUUCCACCGCAACAGUUAGCUUUUCACCCCCGCGGCAAUGACAGCCGCUGGAUUCGGUAAUUUUUUGUUUACCCGCCGCAGCUUGUUCACAGUCUAUGACGCGUGGGCCUGUUUUCUUGUGGGACCGGUGAUCAGAGGCAGCAGCGAGGGCUCGUCUGCGUCCCUCGUUUCAGUUGUUGCUCCGUGGAAAGCGGUGAAAACCCUAGACCCGGAUCGGUCUCUCCUCCCCCAAUCCCCGGCUCUCUCUCUUCCACAUCCUCUCUUCCUACGGGAGCCCCCGGAGGUGGCGGCGACCAGAAUGGAAGGGGCCGGACCUCACCGCUCCUCUUCCGUGCGCUGGAGAGAAGCACCGAGGGCGCCGCCGCCUCGUGCCUCGCAUAAGGAGGCAGCGCAGACACGGCCGCCGCCGCUGGUAGAGCGCCAUGGUCGCCGCCGGUCGCGGUCGUCGCUGUGCCAAGAGCAUGAGAGCACACGGAGUCGGGCGGCGAAGCAGAGAGCGGUGGCGACGCGCAGCUUUGAGAAGCUCAACCACAGCCGGCGGAGCUCGAGAUCUCUGGUCAAGGCGCCUCCCCCGCCUCGUCAUCCCCUGCCUCUGCAAUCGACGAGGACGACCCGCGAAGAAGCAGCGGGCGGCGCUCCUCCGCCUCCUCGAGCCCCGGAGUUGCGUGGUGAGGCUAGCCGCGCGAAGAAGCAGCGAGGAGGAGGGAGCCGGAGCUGCGCCAGCCGCCCCGAGCCCCCGCCCUCAUAUCCACCCUAUGCCACAGCUCUCACGCCCCGUCGUCAUCCAUUGGGAAGCGGUGCAGGAUUGGCUUCCCCAAGACGUUCUUCAGGCUUGUGGUAGGGCUUGGUGGCCAAGCAAGGUGGCGUCACUGCCUGUAGGUCUCCAGCAGGGCAUAUGGCCAUUGGGGAAGGUGUGGAGGACAGUGGGUUGCUUGUUGGAGAGGAUCAUUUCUGUUGGAGAGGAUCGACGAGGAGAUGCCGGGGAAGAUUUGCUUCGUCUCCAGGUCAAGGGAGAGAUGGAAGGCAACCAUAUCUAAAUUUGUUGUGUUUUUCUGAAUUUUCUUCGUGGGAUUUCAGUUGCAGCGAGCAAGAAAAGGAUCUCUGGAGGCUCAACCACAGCCGGCGGAGCUCGAGAUCUCUGGUCAAGGCGCCUCCCCCGCCUCGUCAUCCCCUGCCUCUGCAAUCGACGAGGACGACCCGCGAAGAAGCAGCGGGCGGCGCUCCUCCGCCUCCUCGAGCCCCGGAGUUGCGUGGUGAGGCUAGCCGCGCGAAGAAGCAGCGAGGAGGAGGGAGCCGGAGCUGCGCCAGCCGCCCCGCGCCCCCGCCCUCAUAUCCACCCUAUGCCACAGCUCUCACGCCCCGUCGUCAUCCAUUGGGAAGCGGUGCAGGAUUGGCUUCCCCAAGACGUUCUUCAGGCUUGUGGUAGGGCUUGGUGGCCAAGCAAGGUGGCGUCACUGCCUGUAGGUCUCCAGCAGGGCAUAUGGCCAUUGGGGAAGGUGUGGAGGACAGUGGGUUGCUUGUUGGAGAGGAUCAUUUCUGUUGGAGAGGAUCGACGAGGAGAUGCCGGGGAAGAUUUGCUUCGUCUCCAGGUCAAGGGAGAGAUGGAAGGCAACCAUAUCUAAAUUUGUUGUGUUUUUCUGAAUUUUCUUCGUGGGAUUUCAGUUGCAGCGAGCAAGAAAAGGAUCUCUGGAGGCUCAACCACAGCCGGCGGAGCUCGAGAUCUCUGGUCAAGGCGCCUCCCCCGCCUCGUCAUCCCCUGCCUCUGCAAUCGGCGAGGACGACCCGCGAAGAAGCAGCGGGCGGCGCUCCUCCGCCUCCUCGAGCCCCGGAGUUGCGUGGUGAGGCUAGCCGCGCGAAGAAGCAGCGAGGAGGAGGGAGCCGGAGCUGCGCCAGCCGCCCCGCGCCCCCGCCCUCAUAUCCACCCUAUGCCACAGCUCUCACGCCCCGUCGUCAUCCAUUGGGAAGCGGUGCAGGAUUGGCUUCCCCAAGACGUUCUUCAGGCUUGUGGUAGGGCUUGGUGGCCAAGCAAGGUGGCGUCACUGCCUGUAGGUCUCCAGCAGGGCAUAUGGCCAUUGGGGAAGGUGUGGAGGACAGUGGGUUGCUUGUUGGAGAGGAUCAUUUCUGUUGGAGAGGAUCGACGAGGAGAUGCCGGGGAAGAUUUGCUUCGUCUCCAGGUCAAGGGAGAGAUGGAAGGCAACCAUAUCUAAAUUUGUUGUGUUUUUCUGAAUUUUCUUCGUGGGAUUUCAGUUGCAGCGAGCAAGAAAAGGAUCUCUGCGAGGCGGAUCAUAUUAAGUGUUGUAAGAUCGAGACCAUACUGAUGAAAUGGUGAUUGUAGGAGAAAUACUCGAAUUGGCUCAUGAAGAGAAUGAAGGAGGAGGGGUGUGAGUGGUAUAUAGCAGAACUUUCGCUCCACUCCGGUCUGAUCGUCUACGCCGGCCGGACGACGGCCAGGAGGUGCCCGCCUGCUUCCUAGAAUCCGCGAGGAAGCUGGAGCUUCCGGUUCACUUUUGCUACAGACCUAGAGGACAAUGAAAUCAAAUUUAUAUAUUACGCUGUUUGCUACGCUAGGAUGGAGAUGAGGCUGACCUUCUCGGGAAGACUGGCGCUAACUAGAGCAACGUUGGCAUGUGCCGGCACCUCCACCGUAGUUCGACAAACGUCUCUGGACCUGGUCGCCUCCCAGUCUUUUCCUCGGGUCAGCAUGAUUCCUUGCCCUCGCCAAAAAACUGUAUGGUUUUGUUCAUUUGUUUUAUAGGCCACAGAUUGUCUUGAGUUCGCCUGAAGGAUUAUCUGGCCAUGUCUAUGGGAGGCCCAAGAGGCGAGGGUGAUGACAAGGCCAUAUUUAUGUUCUGGAUAGGGGUCACAACCAUUGCCGGGGGAAAGUCAACGAGAAGUGGAGACAUGCAUGAUCCAAGUGAUGAUGCAUGAAUGUUUACUAACGCUGAAAUUUGCUAUAGCAGCAGUAGAUUGACAGAGAAAACCAAGCAAUGCUGGAGAUUCAGCUCCAACCUGAUGGACUGAUAUCAGGAUGAAGCUGGUUUUCCUCUAGGUUUUAGCAAUGGUGUCAACCUCCAUUGAGUCGUUGCCGACCUCCACCGAGCAGUCGCUGCUUCUCCUAGGGCCCCUGUAUCGGUCCUCUCCAACAAGGGUAUAUAUCAAGAAGGUUGUUGGUAAAAGGGGCGAGUUCUGUAGACGAGUGCACCAUGGGAUGAAGGAGAUAAACCUAUUAGCCUGCUACGAGGUGAACGAAAGCUGCUUGGCACUCUCUGCUCAUUUUAUAGCCUACCAGCUAGGACGGACUGACCCUUUUGGCAUAUCUCUACAACUUAGUCAUGUGUGUACAUAGCAUAGUUAAACAGCUACACGGGUGGUGACUUGCUUUGUAUUUUUUGCAUCUGGUCAUGUUUACCUCAACUAUAUGGUUAUAAUUAGAAGACUACUACUCUUCUAGACGUACAUAUAUUUUCUAAUUCACUACACAAUGUUAUUUAAUUUCUAGAUUUGUUGCGCAUUCAAGGAUGUGAAUCUCCAGCUAUAUCUUUGGAUGUCGAUUAUGUAUUAGGUAUAGAUGAUUGGGGCACAUGUACCAAUGCAAUUGGAAUUUUUAAUGAUUUGUCUUACUGUCCAGAUCAGAUAAAAAAAUGACGGAGACAUUGUAUAUAUCUUUACUUUUAUCGACUGAUUAGUGUAAUUUAUGCCUCCUUAUUAAGCACUGCUGCAGGAUGUUUCACAGUGUUACGAGAUUAAUAACAGUUAACUUUUGCACUACUGCAGGAUGCUCUUAAGCAUGUAUUCGUGAGUAGAGUGAUGGAUGUCAAGGACUUUCAUGUAUGGAUUCGGCUUUCGUAUGU